AGAGGGCGACCGGCCACACUGGGACUGAGACACGGCCCAGACUCUACGGGAGGCAGCAGUGGGGAAUAUUGCACAAUGGGCGAAAGCCUGAUGCAGCGACGCCGCGUGAGGGAUGAAGGCCUUCGGGUUGUAAACCUCUUUCAGCAGGGAAGAAGCGCAAGUGACGGUACCUGCAGAAGAAGCGCCGGCUAACUACGUGCCAGCAGCCGCGGUAAUACGUAGGGCGCAAGCGUUGUCCGGAAUUAUUGGGCGUAAAGAGCUCGUAGGCGGUUUGUCGCGUCUGGUGUGAAAACUCGAGGCUCAACCUCGAGCUUGCAUCGGGUACGGGCAGACUAGAGUGCGGUAGGGGAGACUGGAAUUCCUGGUGUAGCGGUGGAAUGCGCAGAUAUCAGGAGGAACACCGAUGGCGAAGGCAGGUCUCUGGGCCGCAACUGACGCUGAGGAGCGAAAGCAUGGGGAGCGAACAGGAUUAGAUACCCUGGUAGUCCAUGCCGUAAACGUUGGGCACUAGGUGUGGGGCUCAUUCCACGAGUUCCGUGCCGCAGCAAACGCAUUAAGUGCCCCGCCUGGGGAGUACGGCCGCAAGGCUAAAACUCAAAGGAAUUGACGGGGGCCCGCACAAGCGGCGGAGCAUGCGGAUUAAUUCGAUGCAACGCGAAGAACCUUACCAAGGCUUGACAUGCACGGGAAGCCACCAGAGAUGGUGGUCUCUUUGGACACUCGUGCACAGGUGGUGCAUGGUUGUCGUCAGCUCGUGUCGUGAGAUGUUGGGUUAAGUCCCGCAACGAGCGCAACCCUCGUCCCAUGUUGCCAGCGGGUUAUGCCGGGGACUCAUGGGAGACUGCCGGGGUCAACUCGGAGGAAGGUGGGGAUGACGUCAAAUCAUCAUGCCCCUUAUGUCUUGGGCUUCACGCAUGCUACAAUGGCCGGUACAAAGGGCUGCGAUACCGUAAGGUGGAGCGAAUCCCAAAAAGCCGGUCUCAGUUCGGAUUGGGGUCUGCAACUCGACCCCAUGAAGU
rnacentral:rRNA from 1 species